rnacentral:lncRNA from 1 species
GAAGCAGCAUGUACACACAGGGCUACACUGGUCUGCACCAGGUCCUCAGUGCACAGAUUAUAGCUUUCAGCUUUGUGUUCACCUGACUGUGGGAACAAGCGGGUCUCUGAUUCUUGUGCUUGCGCUCGGGGCUCUUUUCUUGAUGUUGCCUUGUCCAGUCUCUUUGCUGUGCCCCCCCUUUCUCGUUGCUGUGCCUUUGGCUUUACCUUAUUAUAUUUUAUUUUGUGAUGUUUGGCUGUUAUCUCUUAGAAGCCUGUUCCUAUCUAAUGAGAGAGAGAGAGAGAGAGAGAGAGAGAGAGAGAGAGAGAGAGAGAAGAGAGUAUCUGGAGGGGAGGAGGGGAGGAACUGGGAGGAGUGGAGGCAGGAAAAAUUAUAAUCAGUAUAUAUUAUAUGAGAAAUCUAUUUUUAAUAAAAGGGGGAAAAUGAAAGCAAGCAAGCAAGUUGCCCUGUGACCUACACAGGCACCCUGUGGCAUGUGCAUCCAACCUCAGCCCAAAAUAAAUGAUAAAUGCAAUGAGAUGCUCUGCUUUAAAUUUUUAAACACUUAAGUUUGUUUUUAAAUAAAAUCUUUACUAAGAAGAAGAAAUAAAUUUUAAAAAUAGGUGUCCUACUGCAGAAUACGUUCAUUGUAAGUC